rnacentral:rRNA from 1 species
UACGAAGGGAGCGAGCGUUGUUCGGAAUCACUGGGCUUAAAGCGUGCGUAGGUGGAUUGGUAAGUAAGGAGUGAAAUCCCAGGGCUUAACCCUGGAACUGCUCUUUAGACUGCCUGUCUGGAAUUCGGAAGAGGUUGGUGGAACUCCCAGUGUAGAGGUGAAAUUCGUAGAUAUUAGGAAGAACACCGGUGGCGAAGGCGGCCCACUGGAUCGGUACUGACGCUGAGGUGCGAAAGCGUGGGGAGCAAACAGG